rnacentral:lncRNA from 1 species
AGUAUAUGCUGCCGUAUUUUGCAUACUUAUUUUUCUGACAAAAAGAAAUUUUAAUUUGACGAAUUAUAAAUCGAAUAUAGAAUUUUUGAAACAAUUCUCAAUUCCCAAUCUAAACAAUAUGAUAAUACAUAGUAACAUCAAAUAAAUGCGUUGUUUGCCUUUAAUUCCAUUUGAUCCUUCUUUGGAAACAUAAGAAAAGACAGCGCAUAUGAAAGCAAAUUAAAUUAACGAACUUUUAACAUUGAAAAUUUAUACUGCUCCUCAAAGUCUCCUUUUCAAUUCUCCUACUUCUCACGAAAUAUUUGAAAUAGUGUACGUGCUUGUUUUGGGAAAGCAUGAAUUGUUUUUAGAGGUGAAGUUGAAAACUUUUGCAAAUCAAAUAUUCAGAGUCAGGACACAAUCAACAGUAUGAGCAACUCUUAUACCAAAAAUGUGAUUUUAUAGUAUAUAUACGCCAGAAACAAUUGUGUCUGCCUAAAUACAAAAUAAAGGGUGGGGAUUUUAGAUGAAUGCUUAUUAUAUGGCCGCACAUGAAAUCCUAAAAUUAGUGGUAAAUUAACAUAAGUUUUGCUGUAAAAUGAAAAGAGCUAUAUAAUUCUUUUGGUAUAACAAAACAAACUGUUAUAUGUAUAUAAUUUCAAGCUGAUGGUUUGAGAAAUUCCUUUAAGUUGAUUCUCCAAACUUGCAAUCAUAUUAGUUUUUAUUUAUUUAAGGUAAUUAAAAAAUAUCAUAGUUAAUCUUCCAAACCUGUUUUAAUUUUAUUAAAUUAGUCCACAAAAAAAUUAAAAUAUCAUUAUAUUCAUAUCCUUAUGAAAAAAUAAAGUGGUAUAUAGGACCUAAAAGAAUAUUUGAAAGACUAAUUUGAUGACAAAUAAAAUCUUUUGGCGAAACAAAUUUUAGUGAUAAAAUUUUAAAAGAUUAACAUAUAUAAUAAUGGUUUUAAAUUAUUGAUGUAAUAAUUUGAAGCCAAAGUUUUUCUACAAAACUUUAAUGUCAUAAUUAAUGUAUGUAACAAACUUUAUACGACAAAUAUGAAGAUUUACUGGUACUUCUAUUCUAAAUCUGCUGCCUCAAAGAGAUAAGAUAACAUCGAAUCACAUGUUCGGUUAUACAACUAGCUAGUUGAAGAUAGUAUAUAUAAAGCUAUUUACGAACAGUUUGCUACCUUGUUUGCAUUUAUCUCACUUUGCUCCCCCACUUUCUUUAAAUUCCAUUUGUGAUCAGACAAAGCCAAGAAAAUAUCUUAAUUUAGUGAGCAAGAACAUAAGAAACGUAUAGGAGUAUUAAAAAACAAUAUAUCCUUAACCUCAUUGAGAUCACACCAAGCUUAAUAUAUAGGAAAGUCUUCAACUGCUGCUAUAAAUUAAAUGUGUCACAAAAACUUACAUUGUGCAAUUACCUGGAUAUAGAAACCAGAAAUACCAUAAGAAAAAUAUAUAAAUAAAAUAAAAGCUCAAACUACAAAUAAGUGCAUGCCAAAUGUCCAAAACUAUGCAACAACAUUAGCUUUUUGUUAAACUAUAACAAUUAGAGAAAUUGAAAUCCAUAAUUAAAGUUAAGUUCCUCAACUUCACAUCUAUGAUCUAUGUAUGGCAAAGGCAUAUGAUUCUCCCAACCCUUCUCCAAAAUUUUCUUUUGAUAAUAAAUUUGAUGGCAACACUAUGUAAAAUCAAAUCUGACUUAUCUGUUGUCUUUUUUUAUGCUGUCUAUGUGUUACCUAUUAAAAUUAUAAUACAUAAUAGUUGUGUUAAUAUUUAAUGGUGAUAUUUAAUUUUAAAAAUUAUAAAAACGAUAUAAUUUUAAAGGAUAAUAUAAGAACAGCAUAGAAUCCUAAUCAACCAAAACUAUGUACUCAAAAGGACAAUUAAUAGAGCUCAAACUUAUUGAUCAUACCCUGUCAGUCUAUCCUCCUCGAUCUUACGGAUUCCUCUGAAAAACUAAGAACGAGGUGAUGGCGUCGAGCCCAGAUCUACAAUAAUCACACUUCAUAAUCCUCUAGCUAAAUAAUAUAAACUAUAUCAGAAGAGCUUACCACUAGCUGCAUAUUGUGAAUUCAAAUUUCAGAAAAUAAAAACUUAAACCAUAUACAGUUGAUACAUAUAUAGACUCUUAUUUCCUGUGGCCAAAAAGAAAUUUAACUGCACACAUAAAUCCAAUAAAUAUUGUAGGUAUAUAGACCUAUCCACCAGCCGAUACAGCUUCUCAUAUCAAUAUUGCAAAUUGCAAUUCACUUCCUUUAUUAGCAAUAAUAAUAAGAAUAAGAAUAAGAAUAAUGCAACCAUCAAUACCUAAUAAUAAAUUUUCUAAUUAAGACAAACAAUUAAAUACACAUAUUUUAUAUAUACCUAUAUCCACUCCAGUAUAAGUUGUAUCCGUUGUGCACCAUCUUUCUUUUCCUCAAAAUCUUCCUUCUGCUGAAAAAACUGCUAAAACUGCAAUCUAGUAACUUCGAAACUGUAUAAAGUGGCCAAAAAUUAGUACGGCAUUGACAAGUAAAGGGGAAAAGACAUAGGAGGGGGGUUUCUAUGCGCAGAAGAUAGGGUUACAGACACAAAGGGGCAAUUAGAGAGAUGCGAGUACGUGUCCGAUCGGAAGAAUUGGUAUAAUAUUAUUCAAUGUUAACUGUGUCUGUGAGAGUUACUGGUUAGCAUAAUAUGGUUAUUUAUAAGUUACAGUACAACUUGACAUGUUGGUUUGUUAUUUUCAAUGCUACUCAUAGCUGUUGUACGGAAAUUCAAGAAGAUCUCAAAUUCUCAAAUCUCUAUGAUGAAGUAAGAUCAACAUGGAAGUAAAGAAAAAGUUUAGAACAUAUUAAUAUUUCAUGAAUAAAUUACAAAAAUGUAACCAGUAAUAUUAGGGGAACCUAUAAUUGAAAAAACGAAUACAAUUAAUUAUAAAUUAAAAAUGAUUUUAAGUUUUUGGUUGAAAUGACGAGUAAAAGUGAAGAAGCCCCACAUUAUAUAUAUGAUGUGGUAGAAAAGAUUUACACACUUAGAGAAUGUUUGGAUACAUUAGAAUCACAUUGAAUGAAAAAAUCAUAUUUUCUAAAGAAAAAAUGUUAAAGUAAUUCUGUUAUAACUUUUAUUUAAAAAUUUGUUGGUGUUAGAUUCAACUAUUUCUUAAACAAACAUUUAAUGUAUGUCUAAAUUUUAAGUUAGAUGUAAGUAACAAAUUUGUUUGGAUUGUGAUCUCCACAAUAUUAUACUCUCGUAUUUCUCAAUAUCUUCAAGUAAAUUAAUUAAUUAAAUGUGAUUAGUUAUCAAAUCUUUUACGGCAACUUGUAUGAUAGUCAAUUUUGCGUGAGAUAUAUUCUCUCAAUAUUUCCUAUAUCGACCUCUCCAUCACUUAUUUAUUUUUUAUUUUUAAUAAUUAGUGAUACAAUAUUUUCCAAUUUUAUCCUUUAUAUUUCUGAAAAUGUUGUUAUACAUAAAUAAACUGAGGAAAAUCGUAUAAUACAACCGUAUGAAUACUUUAGGAUCUACAAUUUAAUUUGGUUUAAAUAAGUAAUUGUUAAUCCUUAAAAUAUGUCAUUUUUUUGUUUUAAUCUCUAUAAAAAGUUUAUUCAGUUUUAAAUUGAAAUUAAGAUUAAAUCAAAUCUAAUCAAAAUCAAGUAGUGGAUUCCUAUCCUGUUUUCUACUCGGAAGAAUUUGGGCUGUAUAGACGCGUCACGUACGUAUUCAACAUGUACAAUAGAUAUAUAGUACUAGUAGCAGAAAGGGUCAACGAGGUGGAAGGGAAUUUUAGGAAAACGUUAAAAUUAAUCAUGGGAGCUAAACAAUAAACCAAACAAUGCAAAACAAAAAUAGACAAGAUGAUGUGAGAAACUGAAACAACCAAGAAAAAAAAGCCAAAUAAAUUAAAUACUUACAUGCAUGUAUGCCCUGUUCUUAGUGAAGCCACUCCUGGUUUUAGAUACAGAGCAUGGUCAAUAUUCACUAACUAAGAAGGCAGAGAUGGUAGAGACUAGAGAGUUUGUAGCAUGAUCGAGGAUCUCUCAUAUACUUAAUUGGUGCGUCAAAGUGAAUUGAUUAAGGUAGCUAUAGCAGCCUUAAUUUUGUGAGUUAGCUAGAGACAGAACACUAUGGUACGUUUGUAUGAAUUUGAAAUUG